rnacentral:lncRNA from 1 species
ACAGCAGUGUGUGUGUAGCCCUGCCUUAGGUGACCAUUUUUAUUUUAGUGCCUACUUGCAGACAGUAUACAAAUUUCUGCUUCUGUAUAGUACCAGUUUUCAUUAAGCCAGUAUAAAAUAGAAACUAGCUUUUUAAAUGAGCUUGGGGACCAUUUGUGUUCAGUUAUGUUUACCUGGGUAUUUUGUCCUGACUCACUGCCAACUGUCACAAUUUAAGAUGAUUUCUCAUACAGGAAAGCCAUUAUUAGUAGUAAAGUCUUACCAACCCCGUGUUCCAAUUACUGCUAGAUCUUAAAUUUUUCAUUUUUUGUCCAAUAACAAUGGCUCUACCUUUUGACAUUUGGCUCAUUAAAAAAUUUUGCAAGAGAGUUAAAUUUUCUAAAAUGUAUAUGAAUGACCCGAGAGUUGUAAAAUUUCUACUAGCCUCUAAAUGGAUUAAUAAUCAAAAGCUUCAAAUGAAUUAAGAAUCCAGUCUGGGGACAUGACAUACGUUUCUUAGAUAGACCAUAAUUUCAGGUCAGUAUAUUUUGAAGACUUGCUAUCGUCUGGCUCAAACGUUUGCCGUCUUUAUUAUGCACGUAUAAGGAAAACGAAACCGAAACACAAAGCACCAGUAUCUGUAGCAAAAGGAGACCCCUAGUAAGGUGACACGGCAUUCCACGUUACUUAAGAGUUGGCCUUAAUUUAGUACACAGGAUGUUUGCCACGUUUUAUACUUCUUGCUCUCUUUUCGUUCGAUUCACACUAAUAGUGUAUGGCGUCAGAGUCUUCAGUCAGUCUCUGGAUGGAUCUCUUUCGUCUUUUCCACCUUACAUGGCCAGAGGGUAGGUGAAGCACAGCCAGCAGUUUUCCUUGGAUUGUCAUUGUACAGUCGGUCCAGAGUCCAGAGCCGCUGGGGAACACAGGUGUGUUUAUCCCGGCAGGGGAUGGGGGGGAGGGGGGCGGAGGGGACGUGUCUCCGCUUCUAGGGUGAGAGACCCUAGGCAGGGAGACGGAUGAGAGACCUGCAGCUCUGCCUGGGAACUUGUCUGGGGAUCGCGUCCCCUGUCGCCAGGGUGGAAACGAGAUCCCUUAGGAGUCAAGUCAAAGCACAUCGCUUAUGUCACUUCUUGCUGAAUCUGAGGCAGUUCGUGGUCCCUAAGCACCAGAAACAGAAAACAAAACAACAGCCCUGCUCCCAUGGCAUCUUUCUUAUUCAGUGUUAAUUCAUCUUUCCUUGCUAUUUUUGGACGGAGACUUCAAUGUUAAAUGCAUUCGAAAACUAUUUGAGGAAUGACCACAAAGUCUUAAGCGACUAAAAAUAUAUACAGUAAAACCCCACUUUUACACGUCCCUGGGAAAUAGGAGGAACGUUGCAAAUGAGUUGAAUUUGUAGAGGGAGGGAGAAAAGUAAAGCAAAACAAGCGCUCUCUUAGUGAUUGUGAAAAGAACAAUCGAGAACAUUGUGUUCAACGAAUACAACAGUUACCAUGGGCUUUCUUCAUGUUAGGCAACCAGCGUAUGUUCUCAAAGGUCGCAUUAUUAUUCUGUUUUGCUAAUAAUCAGUUGGGGCAUCAACCUAAGAAACAUAUCGAAUAAGCACUUGUUAACACCUUAUUUGGGGACCCUGUCUGUUGGGGUGGGUAUGAGGAGGGAGGGUUUAUAGAAGAGUAUAUAUCUCUUUAAAAAAAAGAGAGAGGAAAAUAUUUCUGAGCACUCAUCUGCCCUAUGUGGAAGCUUCUUUUCCCUUUUAUAGGGCCAAUUAUCACUACAGAUUUCGAUGUUUACCAAGAAUUCCUAAAAAUGAGUGCGGAUUACUGAAUAGAAUACACUAUUUAAAAUAUUGGGGAGUAGUAUAAUUUGUGGAGAAAUGUAAAUUGUAAUAAUGUAAAUGGGGGUUUCACUAUAUAUAUUAUAUGUAUGUACACACACGUCGCACUUCAUAGAAUCAAAGUGGCUCUUAAGGAGCUUGGGCUCCUGUUAUUUUAUCAUGCUCCUAUGUUUGUUUGUUUGUUUGUUUUUAAUCCUAGGAGCAGUAGUUUUUAUACGUAUGUAUUUAAAUUUUAUUAUUAAAAGUUACAUUUUAUU